rnacentral:rRNA from 1 species
UACACACCGCCCGUCACAUCACGAAAGUUGAUUGCACUAGAAGUCGGUGGGCUAACCCGCAAGGGGGGCAGCCGCCUAAAGUGUGAUCGGUAAUUGGGGUG